rnacentral:tRNA from 1 species
GCCGCUGUGGCGGAAUAGGCAGACGCAAGGGACUUAAAAUCCCUCGGUGGCGACACCGUACCGGUUCGAUCCCGGUCAGCGGCACCA